AACGCACAUUGCGCCUGCUGGUAUUCCGGUAGGCAUGCCUGUUCGAGCGUCAGCAAAACCUCUCAGCAAUUUAUUUUGUUGGUUAUGGAUGUGGAGGAUCUGGCCACUGUUGUGGCCGCUCUCAUCUUAAACUUGCUGCACGACCGCGAGCUAUUGCUUAGGUUAAUGGAGUGGUGUUUACAUUAUAUUCCAGCGAUUAAGCAUGGCUUUUUUGGCGGCGUUAAACCUGAUGUUGCUUAAUCGCGACUGAAGUUUGACCUCGAAUCAGACAAGGAUACCCGCUGAACUUAA
rnacentral:misc_RNA from 1 species